rnacentral:rRNA from 1 species
GGGGGCAACCCUGAUCCAGCCAUGCCGCGUGUGUGAAGAAGGCUUUCGGGUUGUAAAGCACUUUCAGAGGUGAGGAAAGGUGCGUGGCGAAUACCCACGUACUGUGACGUUAGCCUCAGAAGAAGCACCGGCUAACUCCGUGCCAGCAGCCGCGGUAAUACGGAGGGUGCGAGCGUUAAUCGGAAUAACUGGGCGUAAAGCGCGCGUAGGUGGUUGAGUCAGUCAGAUGUGAAAGCCCCGGGCUUAACCUGGGAACAGCACCUGAUACUGCUUGACUAGAGUACGGUAGAGGGCAGUGGAAUUUCCUGUGUAGCGGUGAAAUGCGUAGAUAUAGGAAGGAACACCAGUGGCGAAGGCGACUGCCUGGACCGAUACUGACACUGAGGUGCGAAAGCGUGGGUAGCAAACAGGAUUAGAUACCCUGGUAGUCCACGCCGUAAACGAUGUCGACUAGCUGUUGGGAGACUUGAUCUUUUAGUAGCGAAGUUAACGCGAUAAGUCGACCGC